GGGAAUAUUGGACAAUGGGCGAAAGCCUGAUCCAGCCAUGCCGCGUGAGUGAUGAAGGCCCUAGGGUUGUAAAGCUCUUUCAACGGUGAAGAUAAUGACGGUAACCGUAGAAUAAGCCCCGGCUAACUUCGUGCCAGCAGCCGCGGUAAUACGAAGGGGGCUAGCGUUGCUCGGAAUUACUGGGCGUAAAGCGCACGUAGGCGGUCUUUUAAGUCGGGGGUGAAAUCCUGGAGCUCAACUCCAGAACUGCCUUCGAUACUGGAAGACUUGAGUCCGGGAGAGGUGAGUGGAACUGCGAGUGUAGAGGUGAAAUUCGUAGAUAUUCGGAAGAACACCAGUGGCGAAGGCGACUUACUGGACACAUAUUGACGCUGAGGUGCGAAAGCGUGGGGAGCAAAC
rnacentral:rRNA from 1 species